AUUCAUGCUCAACUCAUUCCCAGGGAUUAGGAUUAAAACCACGCGAAGUUACUUUGUUUAUUUGUAUUUUUAAUCCUCUUUGGGUACUACCAUUAAUACUCAGUUCAUCAGUGUGCACAGCUCCCUGCUGAAUUGGGAUGAGCUGGCUGAGUCAGCUGACAGAAGGAAGAGAGGAAUCGAGUUUGACAGCAGCACAGACUUACUUUGGCUUAAGGUGGAAGAAAGUGUUCGCUCUUUCCAAGUGACCUAAAAGCAUCUGGAAAAGUGAAGAUAGAGGAUUGGGGUCACAAAAACUCCGUGUGGGUUUAGCAUCCUUGAAAACGCCAGGAAUGGAGUAAUUGGAUGGCUGGUACAGGCUGUGGAUGCAGCUCUUUCAUCACUGCCCCCAGUGAAUGGAAUUCUUUCCCUUCUACAUUUAAAUCUAAUACAGACCUUCAGAUUUCGCUGUGGAUGGUUUCACCUCUGAGCUGAGCAGCAGCCCGAGAGAGCUUCACCUCUGCUGGCGUAUGGAAAACCCUCUGAGGCUCCAGGUGCUGUGGAGCUUGUAUUUGCCUUCUGCAAAAUGCUUCUGGAAUUUUAGGAUGAUUUACAUCAACAUAUCCCUCUGCCACUGCGCCAGGAGGAGUGGUGAGGGUGCCUGAAACACUCUGCAGGGAUAAGGACACAGGAGAACCACACUCAGAAACCAGGAGGAGAGUCCCCACG